UAUAUUUUAAAGGCCGCAGUAUUUUGACUGUGCAAAGGUAGCAUAAUAAUUAGUCUUUUAAUUGAAGGCUUGUAUGAAUGGUCGGACAAAUAAAUAACUGUCUUUAGGAAAUAAUUUGAAUUUAACUUUUAAGUUAAAAGGCUUAAAUAAAUUAAAAAGACGAUAAGACCCUAUAAAGCGUUAUAUUGGGGUGAUAUAAGUAUAAAUUUUAACUACUUAUUAAUACACACAUCUAUAAAUGGAUAGAUCCUUAUUAAAGAUUUAAAGAAAAAGUUACUUUAGGGAUAACAGCGUUAUUUUUCUUAAGAGUUCAUAUCAAAAGAAAAGUUUGCGACCUCGAUGUUGAAUUAAAAUUUCUUUAUAAUGCAGAUGUUAUAGAAGAAGGUCUGUUCGACCUUUAAAUUUUU
rnacentral:rRNA from 1 species